GGGGAAAGGAAGCGAGCGCGCACCGUAUAUUCCGAAUAAAUUAAUUUUCCGUUGCUGGAAGUUGUGGGUAGGAUAUGCAGGGGUGGCGGGGUAGGAGGAGAUUUUAUUUUAUUUUAUUUUGCAAUCCGAUGGUUUCCUCGGGUGAUAAAAAGCAGGCAGCAGAUGGGCACAACAGAUCGCGUGGGUGAGGAUUACAGAGGAACAAAUGAACUGAAAUGCCAUCAGGCCUGAUUCUGGAAUAUUGGCUGGCACCCAAGAAUGUCCCUCUGAAAGCGACACGUGGAGAAUAAUCUUCCCAAGGGGCAAGUUUGCUGAGUGGGAUUGCGGCUUGAAGUCUACCGAUAUCCGUGGUCCGAAGCUGGCUGAAGUCUAUAGUGAUGGACUUAAUGGAAACUGUCAGGGGUUGGCGGGUGAAAGCUGGUGGAGCUUGCAUUUGGAAGCGGGCAGAUGUCUCAAGGCUGGUGUUUGUGGAUGUCAGCUGGCUGGAACUCACCUUUGGAGGCCAGUCAACAGAAGCCGGUGGAUAUUUGUGGACUGAAGCAGGACCCAAACGUAAACGAAUGGAGAGUAAAUUAUGACCGAUUGUAUCUGCCGGUGUUCAUCGUGGAUGCUGGCUGGCGUACACUUGUGUGUGGGAAUGGGAGGUCUCAAAAACGGUCAGGGCGAAAUGGUACAUGUAUGUGAGCGAAUGGGGUGGGAUGUGUGGAAAUGUUCAUGAUUAGAUGGAACCUGUGGAAGCUGGAAGGCUGAAAGUUAGCAUAUAAAGUCCCUAGGCAGAAGUCGGUAGAAGUGCCUGGAGGAUGCUGCCAUAUGGUAGCCGUCCCAUUCGUGGUCCCAUGGAUGUCUGAAGCCAGUGAGGUUUCCUCAAGGCCACCCAUGAAAGCAGUGAAGAGAACUGCAGGGCUUAAGCAAGGCAGCUUAUAGUUCAUUUGAAGAAACGCCUUUCUAAACACAUCCACCUGCAGUAGCUAUUCUAUCUUUUUAUUCAAAGUCACAUAAUGGGAUAUCACACACCUGACUUGGUAUUGUUACACAGGAAAGGUGUGCUGGGUGAGAAAUAAAUAAGAAAUAAGCAAACCCCUGUGGAGGUGCCUCCAAAAUCGUCAGGCCACGGGAGGUUGUGCUGAUGCUAUUGGCUGUGGACUGCUUGUGAUGUCACAAAAGAACAUGGUGGCUGAGGGAGAAAUGACAGUUAUUGGAAGAGGUACAGGUGAAGAGGCUCUGGAGAAGUUGGGUCGGGCAGCUGAAGGCAGAGAAGGGAAAUCUGGUUUCGCUUCAUCCUGUCUAUUUGAGUUGCCUGUUGUCCUGUGCCUCACCUACGUAGCUGUCAAAAAAAGUCACAACUGAUUUUUGUCACAGAGAAUCCAGCUGCCCACCGUAAACUUUUAAGGAUCCUCAGUGUUUGAAAAACUUCCUUUUAGCUGAAACAUCACCGUUAUGUCUAGUAAGGUACUUCAGGAUGCGGAUUUUUAAGAGGAAAGAACCCCAGUCAAAUGUAGGGGUUCAGAGUGUGAGCUAUGAUGAACCACAAAGACCCGGAAUUGAAUCUCACUGCUACCCUCAAUAAAAGAUCCCAAAGAGGGGAAAUGUGUGUGUCUCUCCCCCCCCCCAUCAUUCCUUCUUCUCUGCCCCACAUAUUUACAAGGUAGUCUUCCUGGGCCCUUUUUGUCUGAGAUCAUUUCGACUGGCAAUGCUGAGGAUUAAGACUGGGCCCUUAUGCACAAAAUGUAGGAUGCU